UUGGAACCUUGUUGCACAGCCCAAAUGCUUCCUGAGUUGCUUGGAGUGAAUUUGAGAGCAGUCCUGCUGGCUUUGCCGUGACCUGGAAAUCACAAAUGCUAUGCUUCCCUCCAGUGGCCCAUUAUCACCAACAAGUACUCAGCUGUGAUGGAUGGCUGUGGAGCCAAGUUGGUAAAUUUGCAUAAUGAGCCUUCCGCAAACAUUACAUUGAAAACAACAUGGUGGAUCACAUCACACACAAGGCCAGCUUUUCAAUACGUUAUUUCCAAUUGAGAGGGUGUAAAGGAUGGUCACAGCACAUUCCUCUUGGGGAACCUCGAAUCACACCUAUAACCCUAACACUGUGAGUCUAAGACAAGAGGAUCACCAGUUUGAGGCUGGCCUGGGCUACAUGAUGAGCUUGAGCCUAUUCUUUUCCUGGCAUGAACUACAGCUGACCUAAUAUUUUGCUGCAUGUUGGGGUACAACUUAAACAUGCAUGAUGAUGACAAGCAGUCAAGAGGCAACAGUAGUGAAAGGACUAUAUCUGAAUGAAAACAGGGUUACACUAUCAAAAUGUAACAUGGCUUUAUCUGUGAACCAACAUUCAGAAAUGGAGAUGAGAAUGUCCAGUACUGAUUUGUGAAUAAUCCAAUGGACAGCAGCAGGGCCUCCUUUUUCCUUAUUGAGCCCAGUGUGCAUCUGCAUGUAUGUUUGCAGUAUAAAGGAGAACCAAGAAUUUCCAUUUGUGUGCCACCAGCAUUCUCUACAGACUAGAGCCACUUUGAAAGAGAUAUUCGCACAUGCUGCACUCAUUUUCUGGUUAAAGUAAUGGGACUGUUCACUGAUGAAGUCGUCAUUUCAAACACAGUGGUCCUCGGAGACCUGAACCACCUUGAUUAAGGUCCAGCUUCUCCAUGGCUAUACAGAGACAUCUAAAGGAGAGUGCUUCUAACUGUGGACAGAAGAGCUUCUGCCAUCUCUAACUUCAUAGUCCCAGAUGUGAAAAAAAGAAGCCCCAGACUAAUCUCAUUCCCAGAUUACUCUCCCUGGACACUUUGGAAGCCCAUCCAAAAGGCCA
rnacentral:lncRNA from 1 species